rnacentral:rRNA from 1 species
CCUACGGGACGCACCAGUGGGGAAUAUUGCACAAUGGGCGCAAGCCUGAUGCAGCCAUGCCGCGUGUAUGAAGAAGGCCUUAGGGUUGUAAAGUACUUUCAGUCGGGAGGAAGGCGUUGAUGCUAAUAUCAUCAGCGAUUGACGCUACCGACAGAAGAAGCACCGGCUAACUCCGUGCCAGCAGCCGCGGUAAUACGGAGGGUGCAAGCGUUAAUCGGAAUUACUGGGCGUAAAGCGCACGCAGGCGGUUGAUUAAGUUAGAUGUGAAAUCCCCGGGCUUAACCUGGGAAUCGCAUCUAAGACUGGUCAGCUAGAGUCUUGUAGAGGGGGGUAGAAUUCCAUGUGUAGCGGUGAAAUGCGUAGAGAUGUGGAGGAAUACCGGUGGCGAAGGCGGCCCCCUGGACAAAGACUGACGCUCAGGUGCGAAAGCGUGGGGAGCAAACAGGAUUAGAUACCCGAGUAGUC